rnacentral:lncRNA from 1 species
UGAGCACUUCCCUCCCCCUCAUUUUUGCGACAGUUGCAGCGAAAGUCACGGCAGUUGAGCCUGGUGUCAGCUGAUUUACUGCGGCGGCGGCGGCAGCGGCACCUUGCAACCUCAGUGGGGAGAGGGCGAUCCGCCGGCGCUUGCAGCUCCCGAGGAUUUCCCACUUGGAUUUGCGCACCCCAGCUUCUCCUUAGAUACGCCCUCGCCUUGUCCUCUCUUGUUGGGGCUCCCACGGCUGAUUGAUCUGACAGACCACAUCGCGGCAUGUGAUGAAGCUGUGACAGGUAGGAGGGCUGGGAGCCUCUC